rnacentral:misc_RNA from 1 species
GAUGAAGAACGCAGCGAAAUGCGAUAAGUAGUGUGAAUUGCAGAAUUCAGUGAAUCAUCGAAUCUUUGAACGCACAUUGCGCCCUUUGGUAUUCCUUAGGGCAUGCCUGUUCGAGCGUCAUUUAAACCUUCAAGCUCAGCUUGGUGUUGGGUGACUGUCCGCCGCCUCCGGGCGCGUGGACUCGCCUCAAAAUUAUUGGCGGCCGGUACAUUGGCUUCGAGCGCAGCAGAAACGCGAACUCGGGNCCGUCGUAUUGGCUCCCAGAAGCUAUCUUCACAAUUUUGACCUCGGAUCAGGUAGGGAUACCCGCUGAACUUAAGCAUAUCAAUAAGCGGAGGA